rnacentral:rRNA from 1 species
UACGUAGGGCGCAAGCGUUAUCCGGAAUUAUUGGGCGUAAAGAGCUCGUAGGCGGUUUGUCGCGUCUGCCGUGAAAGUCCGGGGCUCAACUCCGGAUCUGCGGUGGGUACGGGCAGACUAGAGUGAUGUAGGGGAGACUGGAAUUCCUGGUGUAGCGGUGAAAUGCGCAGAUAUCAGGAGGAACACCGAUGGCGAAGGCAGGUCUCUGGGCAUUAACUGACGCUGAGGCGCGACAGCGUGGGGAUCAAACAGG